GCCGCCGCACACUCCCCGCUCGCCGGAUCUUCCGAGCACGUCACCUCUGCGUUCUUUAUGCUCUCCACCACCUUCUCCGAUAUCCGGUCUGGUGCGGCUGCCACCGUUCCAACUGCGCUCAUCCGACCGGAUGUCCACCGCUUCCAUGGGUAGCUGAGCCGUGAGGAUCGGAGGACCGGCAACUCGAUUUUUGGCGAGUCAGUCACUGCUUUCGAGGCCGCCAUAGAAGAACCGGUGAUCGCUGCCAUUUUCUUUUCUUUUCUUUUUUGUUUCUUGAUCGGAGAAUGGAGCGGUGGACUGGACAAUAGAUCAGA
rnacentral:lncRNA from 1 species